GCACUGGGGAGCGCGUGCGUGCAUUUAUCUAUGGAGCAAUACAUGGAGAUUACCGGCCGUAAUGUUACCCACCUUCAGGCCCGCGGGGCUCUGGGGGCUGUUGGGCAGGGAACGUUAUAGAGGAUCCCCGGGGGUCUGCUGGCCUGGAAAUGACAUGGAGUGAGGGAAGAGCCCCCAUACUCCAGAAUCAGUCAUCUCAUCUGCAGGGGGAGAGGAGGAAGGACAAAGACGCAUCGCCCCACCGCAAGGCACGUACGCACACUCGUGGGAAAGGCACGCACGCACUCUCACACACACUUGCACAUGCACGGACACACUCACCAGAAUAUAAUAUUUUAUGUGUGAUUUUUAAAUAUGGCUUUAGAGAAGGAUUAUGCAGGAGAUGAUGCGGGCCGAUUAUGGUUUCAGGACAUCGGGGGCGCUUGAGCUCUCUAGAGAGGCCCAACGCAAGAGUGUAUUUUUUUUCAUACUGCAAACAGAUUUUAAAAUAGGGUGGGAAAAAAAAUUAAUUUAAUUUAACAGUAAAACAGCCUAUUCACUCAAAUAACAGGCUUAUCAUGAUGCU